GUCCACUCCUGGCUCUGCUGCCUCGGUACUGGGCUUCUCAUGGCCUCCGUCCUGGCCCCCAUGCAGGUUAGACAAUAUGGAGGACUUGGCCAUUGGCCACUUGAGCCCACCAUCAUGGGAUGACCUCACACCUGUUGAAAGGAUUGAUGAGAUCACCUUUACUGCACCUUUGUUCCAGAAACCACUCCAACUCGAUAGAUAGCCAAGCGCACCCCCUAGCUCACUGAGACGAUGAACAGCAGCAGGGAAAUUGUUGAAGCACAUGGACACGGAGACCAGGCCUGCAGGAUCCCUGAGCAGAAAAAACCAGUUAGGCCUCUGAGUGACCUUAACCUUGCUUAAUUGGGAAAUGUAAACAAAACUUAACUUGAGUCGUUUCUGGUAAAUACUCAAUGUUAGAUAGAAACAGUACCUAACCUCAGCCAAUCCUAGGCAGCCCAUGAACAGGAGAUCCUGUGACUUGGAAUUUCAACCAUGUAAAUAAACCAAAAGAAGGCA